rnacentral:rRNA from 1 species
GUGAGGAAUAUUGGUCAAUGGACGAGAGUCUGAACCAGCCAAGUCGCGUGAAGGAAGACGGUUCUAUGAAUUGUAAACUUCUUUUGUGCAGGAAUAAAGUGGGUUACGUGUAACCUUUUGUAUGUACUGUACGAAUAAGGAUCGGCUAACUCCGUGCCAGCAGCCGCGGUAAUACGGAGGAUCCGAGCGUUAUCCGGAUUUAUUGGGUUUAAAGGGUGCGUAGGGGGAUUGAUAAGUCAGCGGUGAAAGUUUGCAGCUUAACUGUAAAAUUGCCGUUGAAACUGUCGGUCUUGAGUGCAAAUGAGGUAGGCGGAAUGUGUUGUGUAGCGGUGAAAUGCUUAGAUAUAACACAGAACUCCGAUUGCGAAGGCAGCUUACUGGGAUGCAACUGACACUGAUGCACGAAAGCGUGGGUAUCAAACAGGAUUAGAUACCCUAGUAGUCC